UACAGAGGCCUCGAGCGUUAGGCGGAAUCACUGGGCUUAAAGCGUGUGUAGGCGGAUGCCUAAGUACCUUGUGAAAUCCCACGGCUCACCCGUGGAACGGCUGGGUAUACUGGGUGUCUUGAGCCACUUAGGGGCUGCCGGAACAAAUGGUGGAGCGGUGAAAUGCGUAGAUAUCAUUUGGAACGCCAAUGGUGAAAACAACUCGCUGGGGGUGUGCUGACGCUGAGACACGAAAGCCAGGGGAGCGAACGGG
rnacentral:rRNA from 1 species